rfam:Brachypodium distachyon strain Bd21 chromosome 1, whole genome shotgun sequence.
AAAUUGUUCCCUCCGUCCAAUAAAAGAUGUCUCUGACUAAAUUUGAAUGCAUUUAUACACUAAGUCAUGUUUAGAUAUAUUCAAAUUGUAAUAAACUUGAGACAUCUUUUGUUGGACGGAGGAAGUAUGUC